GAGUUUGAUUAUGGCUCAGGACAAACGCUGGCGGCGUGCAUAACACAUGCAAGUCGAACGAAAUCUACAUGAUUUAGUGGCGAACGGGUGAGUAACACGUGAGAAACCUGCCUUACACAGAGGGAUAGCCGUUGGAAACGACGAUUAAUACCUCAUGACACCGUGACAUCGCAUGAUGAUGCGGUCAAAGAUUUAUCGGUGUAAGAUGGUCUCGCGCCUGAUUAGCUGGUUGGUGGGGUAACGGCCUACCAAGGCGACGAUCAGUAGCCGAUCUGAGAGGGUGGACGGCCACAUUGGGACUGAGACACGGCCCAAACUCCUACGGGAGGCAGCAGUGGGGAAUUUUGCACAAUGGGGGAAACCCUGAUGCAGCGACGCCGCGUGAACGAAGAAGGCCUUCGGGUUGUAAAGUUCUGUCCU
rnacentral:rRNA from 1 species